rnacentral:tRNA from 1 species
GGGGUUGUGGCCUAGCCCGGCAUGGCGACGGGCUCCAGCGGAUAGAUGAUGAACAACGGGUCUACUGAGAUCUGCCCGACGGGGCUGAUUGGUGAGGAGCCGUUGGAGCACUGAUAUGUGCUCAGAAUGCUGAAAAGCAUUUGUUCGGAGAGACCCGUCGAUCGUGAGUUCAAAUCUCACCAACCCCA